rnacentral:misc_RNA from 1 species
GGGGGGGAGGAGGGGGGGGGAGAGGACGGGGGAGACAAAACUACUUCAAUUGCUUAACACAUUUUGAAUUGAAUCAGCAACAGCAGAUACAACAAUGAAUUAUUUGAUAUACUAAAAUCCUAACAUUAUGGUCUCAUAAGACAAUCAACAACAACAACAACAGACCAGACUAUGUGUUCCAUUCUACUCAAUUCAGCAUCGGCAACAACUGGCCACAAACUCCUGCAAAAGAAACAAAAUGAAAAUGAAAUUAAAAUUUCCAAUCAAAAUCAAAAAAGAAAAACCCUAACUAUUCCAAAUAUCCAACAACAUUGACCACUAAAACACAUAAUUCGUAGCUCAAUCGGUUACAAUUGGCCAGAAGGAAACAUAUCCAAAUCCCUAGAACCAUAAAAAAAAAGGUAAAAAUUGACAGUCGAAAAUUGAAGACAGCAGCAGAACAACACUUCCCACAGCAGAAACAGCCACCACACUAAACACUACGCUUCAUAAACGCAAACACUAAGAAAUGAAGAAGAAGAAGAACCUUGAAAUUGUAAAAC